AUGGUCGCCACGGCCAUCGCCGCAAGCAGUUCGCUGCUGCAGCUUGCAGCCACCAGCACCCGUUGUCGCCGCCCGCGAGCUCCAUGUCGCCGGCCGCGACUCAACACCGCCGCCGUCGAUGACGCCAUAGCCGCCGCCGCCGCCACUGUCGCCGUCGGCCGCCGCAGCCACCGCCAGCCAGAUCUGGCUAGAGGCAUCAUUGCCUCCUCCCGCAUCGCCGGCGUCACCACCGGCUCUCACGGCACCUCCACCGCCACAUCCGUCGUCCGGCUGCGCCUCCGUGCUCGGCUACCGGAGGUAGCUCCGGCAGUGUCUCCCGUCAGGUCGCCGCCGCCCGUCGCUGGGGGAUCGGAUCCGGGCACCGCGGCACCGGAUCUGGACGCCGCCGGUCGGCGCCGACGCCAUGCCCUGAGCUCGUGCCGUGCCGACGUCCCGACCGUCUUGGCUGCGAGCGAGGGAGAGAGAGCCUUGAAAAGAGUCACCACGUUCGCCGUUGAGGCUAGAAAUUCUCACGUUAAUCGAAAAAAAAGAAAAAAUAUUAACCAUUAGAUUGUGAUCG
rnacentral:lncRNA from 1 species